UACGGGGGGGGCAAGCGUUGUUCGGAAUUACUGGGCGUAAAGGGCUCGUAGGUUGCCAACUAAGUCAUACGUGAAAUCCCUCGGCUUAACCGGGGAACUGCGUCUGAUACUGGAUGGCUUGAGUUCGGGAGAGGGAUGCGGAAUUCCAGGUGUAGCGGUGAAAUGCGUAGAUAUCUGGAGGAACACCGGUGGCGAAGGCGGCAUCCUGGACCGACACUGACACUGAGGAGCGAAAGCCAGGGGAGCAAACGGG
rnacentral:rRNA from 1 species